GUGCUCGCUUUGGCAGCACAUACACCAAAACUGGAACGAUACAGAGAAGACGGCAUGGCUCUUGUGCAAGGAUGACAUGCAAAUUUAUGGAGUACUCCAUAUUUUU